rnacentral:rRNA from 1 species
GAUGAACGCUGGCGGCGUGCUUAAUACAUGCAAGUCGAAUGAACAUUAAGAGUGCUUGCACUUUUAAUGUUAGUGGCGAACGGGUGAGUAAUACAUAGGCAACUUGCCCCAAGGACUGGGAUAACACUUGGAAACAGGUGCUAAUACCGCAUAAGACCACGGAUGGGCAUCCAUCAGAGGUAAAAGGUGCAAACCGGUUUGGGUGGGCUCGCGUCCGAUUAGAUAGUUGGUGAGGUAACGGCCCACCAAGUCGACGAUCGGUAGCCGACCUGAGAGGGUGAUCGGCCACAUUGGAACUGAGAGACGGUCCAA